GGAGGGAGGGUUAGCGAAGAAAGGGGGAAUGGAGGAGGGAGGUACGGAGGAGGCAAGCCGGAGGGGCAGGCAGGAGAGGAGGAGAAGAAAGGGGGCAUAAGAGGAAGCAGCACGGAUGGGCGGAGGGGCAGCGAGAGAAGAGCGGGCACUUACAUAGGUUGCGUUUGGACAGAGAGAGACGAGAGGCCAGCAGCUGCAAACAGCAGGGACAGUAAUGACAUGGUGGCUUCACAAAACUACUACCUGUUGUUCAAGAAUUCUUGAAAACAGUGAUGGCAAUGCAGUGUUAUAAAUGUUUUAAUUCUAGGACCACUUCACAGAAAAUAUCUGAGGUUCCUGCCUGCUAUUCUGCCUUCCCUGGUUCCUCUGGACUUGCGAAGAUUGAUCCUCAGUGGUCUGAUGGCUUCUUUGAUGUGUCUGAGGGUAGCCUAACAGGGUACGAUUUGGGUUCCCCAUCCUUCCACUGUCUCUCUGAGCAUCUUUGUGGGUGUGCAAGUGAGCUUUAUCACUCAACCGAAUAGCUCUUCUGCCACUGAUAGCACUCCGGAUAAUAAUAAGACAAACCAACAAAAACCCCAAACCACACCUCUUCCACCAAAUAGUUAUAACCUUUCAAUUGUAACUGAUUUUUGUUAGUGAAAUUUAAACCUCUCUGGAGGAGAGCACCUAUUUGCUGUUGGACUUUUAAAUAUAUAUAUUUGAUGCUAUGAGUUGUGGGAGGUGAUUACUGCAAAUUGUUCCUUCUUCUCUUAUAAGGAGAAAAUAUCAGAAAACAGUGAAGAAGUGCCAUUUUACAUUGGUCAUACUUUUAUGUUUUCUUUAGUGGCUUUCUGUUUACCUUGGCUUUGAGUUAAAUUAUGAUGGAAAUAGGAGAAGUGAUUUCUUUUUUUGUAAGGAGCUUCAUGUAGGUUGCCAAGAUUAACUUCCAAAGAAUUAAAAGUCACAUUCUAAAUCAUAACAGAAUUCUUCUCUUUUCAUCAAGUUUCAGUUAUUAAGUGAGGAAAAAAAAAAAAAAGAGAGCUGCUUUUGGAUACUCCUUGGAAUUAUGUGGUGCUCAUAGAAGCUGUUGCUAAGAAAUUGCAGAGUUCAAGUUUUUCUUCUUAUAAGAAGAAUGAGGCCAUGAACAGCACUCCAUCUGCCUUAGAAGAACACCUUCAUUUAUAGCUGUAUAUUUAAAUUUAUAUUUUUGAGCACAGACACAGUUGCCUGGCAUGAAAGACAACUUUUCUAGGCAGGGAAUUUAUUGUACGUUGAAAUAAGCAGCUCACAGAAGUGGACAGAACCAGUGUGACAUCAGGCAGCCCAUUCAUGUUAGUUUCCACAUGAAGAACUACUAAAAAGUUGUAAUGUCAGAGUUAUGUCUCUUGUAACAGUGGAUAACAACUCUGCACUGGCUAGAUGCCUUCUGCUGCUCUCUAAGCUGAACAGGAAAUCUAAUUCAUCUCAUGUGGUUUCCUGAUGAAAUACAUACUGACAAUGACAAAUGUAUGAGCGCUGCUAAAUUCAGUUGCUAGAUAAUGAAAGAUACCUUCUGGUUUUUUUUGUUUUGUUUUUUGUUUUUUUUUUUCCUACAAUGAAACUAAACUUUCCAAACAAAUGACUAAAAGUAAAAUUAAAAUAUAAUAUGGAAAUUGCUUCUCUCUUUACUUACCUGAAAAAUAAUAACUAAAACAUAAUUAAGAGAGAGAGAAAGAGAGAUAUUUCUCGUUUAAUUUGUAUAUUUUACAUAUUAAAAAAUGGAAGAUAUUCUCACUGAAAUAACAUCUGUCCUGAAGCUUCACAAGGGCACCUCACAGUUCUUGAGUAAGCUCUGCAUUGUUGCUUAACUGAGAUGACUAAAGAGAAUGAAUGAAUGAAGUGCCAAACUCUUUGAGUACCAUUAAGUCUCCCUCUUUGGGAAGAUAUGCAUUCAAUCACAAGGGAGAGAAAACAGCCAGACAGUGAAAACAGCCAGACAGUGAAAACAGCCAGACAGUGGCUGCUGAAACUACACAGCGGUGCAGGUGAAAUAUUUGGCUAUGAACAGCUAAACUAUUUUGUCAGUUUGGCAAUAAAUUUUAUUCUAAGUAGAAUUCCCUGGUCCACACCCAAAGGCUUGCACUAGCUAUUUUUCCUGGUUCAAACAGAGUGAGAAGGGGAACAACUGGGAUAACCAAAGUCAAACCUGACACCUUCUGUUUCAUGCGAUCAGUGCAAAGUUUGGAAACCUUGUGCAAAGUUCCUGCAGUCUCUGUGUAAAGCUGAGAUGGCUGGCACAGUAAAGCAGGUAGCAGCUCUAGAAGCAAAAAAACUGGAACUCGGGAGCUUAUGCCAGUUUGAUCCCUUCUGCUAUUCUGUAUCAGAGGACAUACUGUGGAUUCUUUAUUUUCAACUUUUAUUUUAAAAAAUAUUUUUGUUUUGACAGAGUUUGUAAUCUCCUACUUUUAAUUGCAGAAAGACUUCAGAAACAUUUAACAUCUGUGCUUUCUCUCAGUUUGCUUGUUCUUGACAAUGCUUGUCUCAGAAAAGCCAUGAUCUUUCAAAUCAUGGUGGUCUAUACUGAUCUCACUGGUCAUUGCAGCACUAGCCAUUAGCAAGUGCAGUGUUACACUAACUAAUUAAAGUCUUCUGGGUUUGGCAAUUAGUUUUAUGUGCUGAUUCACAGCAAGGUACUUACUUGUGCUGGGUUCAUAUGCAGCUGUGUGGCUUCACAACCGCCUUUAGCCAAUUUGAGAAAGUACACUUCCAAAAAGAAUGAUUCUUCUUUUUCUUGCCCAGGUGUGCAUCACCAUUGAUUUCCUUGUGGUUGUACCAGUGUGGCCAUGCAGAAACUCAGAGAAAUUCACUUAACCCAACUGGAAAAAAACAGUCACACAAAAGAUAUUUUCUCAGCUAAGCUGUUUCAGCUGACUGUGGUGAUGAAGCAGCACACCCCCAACACCAGGGGAAGUUGAGAAGAUGUGGCCAGGCACAAACUAGAAUUGCACCCUUUCAGCAGCAGUGGAUGUCAGAUACAAGACCUGUGACACAUUUUCUUCACUGUGGGGUUAGCAGAACACCUCUACACCUAUUCUCUUUGCUUUCAUGAGGCCCCUUCUUCUUUCUCUCCUUUUGUAAGAGGCUCAGCAAUGCUGUGAGGCUGUGCUUGUUUCAUAGCUGGAAAGAGAGGCAUGCUGUUUGGACUCCUGAGCUGCCUUUGCUGGCAGCAUGAUCCACAUUAAUACCUUAUAGCUGUUACUUAGCUCAGGUUUCAAGCCCAGAUUCUACAAUUAUCCACACUAGUUUUUAACUUCAACCUGUGUACAGGGACAAGUUGACUGAUGUACUAGGAGGGAAAACCUCAGCAGGAAAUGCAAACAUGAGAAAUUAGUUUGACCUUGGGAUGCACGGUAUAGAGUUAGCUUAAGUUAUAAGUGACUUCACUUAUAAUAAGUGAAGGAAUAAGCCCAAGAAUGAGAAAUGUCUCACAAAGACUCAGCAUGAGACAUGGUAUAUAAGCAGCAUCAGGACAUGUGGUGGCCUCAUAGUGAUUUUAAAGCAUAUAAUUAAAGUUUCAUGGAAUAUGUGAAUGAGCCUGAAAAUAUGCAGGAAGGAUGAAACAGUUGCCAUUCUCAAAGCAUUUAUGAAAGUUAAUCCCCUGUCUAUCAUGUUACUGAUGCAGAUAUUUACAAAGAGAGUGUAAUGCUGCUUUAACUGGUGCCAUACAUUAACACUCUCUGGAGAGCUACUAUGGCAUGUGAGACAGGUUGGUCUAGUAUCCUCUUUGGCCUUGCUCCUAGACAUUUAUCUUAAGCCAAAAGCUGAACUGAGUAAUCAGGCACUACCAUUUCACUGGGUUUACAAGUCUCACAGUACUCUAUAAUUUGUAGAAUCUCCUUGGCUGGUCAUUUCAUAUUUUUAAAGGAUUUCAAGUCUAAAUUAUAUCAGCAUUUAAAAAAAAAAAAGUUCUUUAUUGCAGGCAUUUUUUUACUUAAAAAAAAAAAAAAAAGUUUCUUGACAAGCCCAGUAUCUCCCAGGCACAAGUUAAUGACCAUUGUUGCCAAUUCUGCUAUUUGGCUUCUGAGGAGAGGAUGCUUAUGCCAAUAGAUGUGUGCUGUGCCAUAGUUUGUGAAGAACAUGUUGGUGUUAGUCCAAGUGUCCCAUCUUCUAAUUUCAGCAGAAGAAGACCCAAACAUCUGAAGAAUGUGCCUGGGAUGUGACUCUUCAGCAGACACCAAAUGCACUCCAGAAAAGAAGCACUGAAAGUAUCGCUUUAGUAUGAAUGAACCUGCCCUACCUACUGAACUUUUCAACUUAUUUUACAGUUACUGAAGGAACACAUUAAAGGCAAGAGUCAGAAGUGACUAUAAAUUAUCUCAGUGGCCAAGAAAGACUUGCUCCCCAUGCUCUUGCUCCCAUCCUUCCUGAUCCACGUGUUCUUGUCUCCUCAAGCACCCAUCCUUCCUUGUUCAGGUUAUAACAGGCUUCGUUGUGAAUUGACAUGAUCCACUGCUGACUGAAUGUGGUUCCCAAAAAGACCUCAUUAGCUGUGGAGCUGGCAUGGCACAAGCAUCAGGAGUGAGUGGUCAGUGCUGGGGCAGAAAGGAAGGGUGGGAAGGGCAGGUAGCAGUGUACAUCAGCUGUGGAGGGGUGUUGAGUCAGCUUCCUAGAGCUGUGGAACCAUCCCUCAAAGAUGAACAGUCUGUCUUGCAACUAAUGACAGUGAAAAUACUAACUAAUAAGGUUCUAUAAACUCUGGUUAACAGUGUUGCUAAAAUUACUAAUGAAGGCAAAAACUGGAAGGUAAUGUUCUUCAAGCCUGUCUUUGCUGCAGGUAUUCCACUGAUAAUGGAGUAAUAUGCAGUUGAAACUUAAUUGGAACACUAAGGAAAGCUUGAACUAUUUAUGGUAUUUAAUAAUUUAAUAGUACAAAGUGCACUGAUUGUAGUAGUAUUAAUUUUUCUAUUUAAUUUAAUUAUUACUUAUAUUUCUUAAUUAAUAAUGCAAGAGUGUAUUUUUGUGUAGCACUUUUUUUUGUGUAGUUUACAUUUUGCACCAGAAUUUAAUCAAGAUCUUCCUGUUGCUUGUAAAAAAUGAAUACAUUCUGGUAUACACACAUUCUGAACACUUGCUCAAUUCUGUCAUCUAUGAGAUCCCUGCAAGGCUCAUAAAGAUGAUCUUAUCACUAAAUAUUUAUUCCAGGAUGUGUAAGAGCCCUCUAAUUUUUACAUUCUUAUGUUUACAACACUCAGGUAAAAACAGGGUGUUUUAUUUCUCCCACUACAGCUGGGAUAUCAAAGCACAGAGAUGUUAAAGUCUGUACUCAAAAAGGUUAUUUAAGAUCAUGCAUCCCACUAGAUGACCUGCCUAGAGUGCUAAGAAAAUCUUUUGUGGAGCAAGCACUGAACUUACAUUUGCCAAAUCCAGGAGGAUCUUCCUUACUACUGGACUUACUGUCUCACUAAGAUUGCAUUAAAGAGUUCUUUAAAGCUAGGUUUAGAGUACCUUGUUGAGUGGGAAUAAAGAUUUUCUUCUAAGGGAAGUUUUGAAUGUAGGUCAUAGGAGGGCAGAAAGGAUAUAAAAUAGCUGCUGAUGCACAUGAUGGCUUUUAUGGGCAAGGAAAAUGAGAGCUGUAAUGUUUUAAUGUUUUGGGAAAAAAACUUUAUCCAUGACAUGAAAAACAAGCUUAAAUUAAGAAAUAUUGGGUUAUACUGAAGCCCUAAGGGAUUGAAGUCAGUAGAGAAUAGUCAUUCCUCUGGAAAAAUAAAGGAGGUACUCCAUAGAUUAACUUAGCAUUGCUCUAGAACAAGAUCUUGUUACUUAGAAAGCCAGUGUGCUGACAGCUGUGCGCCUACUUAGAAUGUAUAGCAUGGAAAAAAAAUAUAAAAUAAUAAAUUUUAAGCUUAUGUCUUAAAUGUGAAGAAAUAAGAUGCUGUAUUUGUGUAAUGGACUUGUUUUGGUGUAUUGAUGGUAAAUUACUUCUCAGUGUUUAAGAUCAUUUAUGAGUGUAACCAUGUCUAUAAAUUGUGUACCACUAUUUUAUAUGAAGCCAGUUUGGUUGAGAUAUUAUUAGUGGACCUGCAUGCAAUUUUUAUGGCUAAGAAAGCAAAUUUUAAAUUGAAGUGCAUAAAAUGAGGAACGAACAUUUUCCAAAGGAAUUUGCUCUGACGUGAAAGAAAUUCUUGGUGAGACCUCUAAUCUCCUAUGCUUGAUAUAGGAGAUGAGCCUAAAGGAAGGAAAGAAGGUGAAUUCUCAACAGGUGGCAUAGACAGAAUAUACUUUAUAAUGACCUGCCUUGUUCUGGGAGUUUUAAGUAUCACUGGUAACAGAACUGGACUAGGUCUGUGCAUGACCUAGUAUGACUAGUCUUACUUUCUAGAAUAUAGUUUCACUUAAUGAAUUUUUUAUAUUUUUGUACAUUUUUAUAUUUUCAUACAUUUUAAUUCAACUUUUAGUUUUUAUUAUGACAUUUUAUUAAUAAAACUUAUUUUAUAUAAUGCAUUGUAUACUGAAAAAUGAGUAUUCAAGUUAUUUUACCGGUUCCAUGAGUAAUGUAUUUUCUAUUCACAAUAUUUUCUUCUACAGUCUGUAUAAAUGUGCUGUAUAAAAUUUAUAUGUUAUAACAAUAAAUUAUUCUCUUCAG
rnacentral:lncRNA from 1 species